rnacentral:rRNA from 1 species
GACGAACGCUGGCGGCGUGCUUAACACAUGCAAGUCGAACGGACAGGCCCUGCUUUUGUGGGGUGCUCGAGUGGCGAACGCGUGAGUAACACGUGUGUAACCUGCCCUUGACUUUGGGAUAACUUCAGGAAACUGGGGCUCAUACCGGGUAGGAGCUCCUGCUGCACGGUGGGGGUUGGAAAGUUUCGGCGGUUGUGGCUGGUCUCGCGGCUUAUCAGCUUGUUGGUGGGGUAGUGGCUUACCACGGGUUUGACGGGUAGCCGGCCUGAGAGGGUGACCGGCCACAUUGGGACUGAGAUACGGACCAGACUCCUACGGGAGGCAGCAGUGGAGAAUAUUGCACAAUGGGCGGAAGCCUGAUGCAGCGGCGCCGCGUGCGGGAUGACGGCCUUCGGGUUGUAAACCGCUGUCGCCUGUGACGAAGCGUGAGUGACGGUAAUGGGUAAAGAAGCACCGGCUAACUACGUG